rnacentral:rRNA from 1 species
GACGAACGCUGGCGGCGUGCUUAACACAUGCAAGUCGAACGGAAAGGCCCUGCUUUUGUGGGGUGCUCGAGUGGCGAACGGGUGAGUAACACGUGAGUAACCUGCCCUUGACUUUGGGAUAACUUCAGGAAACUGGGGCUAAUACCGGAUAGGAGCUCCUGCUGCAUGGUGGGGGUUGGAAAGUUUCGGCGGUUGGGGAUGGACUCGCGGCUUAUCAGCUUGUUGGUGGGGUAGUGGCUUACCAAGGCUUUGACGGGUAGCCGGCCUGAGAGGGUGACCGGCCACAUUGGGACUGAGAUACGGCCCAGACUCCUACGGGAGGAAGAAGUGGGGAAUAUUGCACAAUGGGCGGAAGCCUGAUGCAGCAACGCCGCGUGCGGGAUGACGGCCUUCGGGUUGUAAACCGCUUUCGCCUGUGACGAAGCGUGAGUGACGGUAAUGGGUAAAGAAGCACCGGCUAACUACG